rnacentral:misc_RNA from 1 species
AAUCAUUGCCAUCAACAAUGAGAAACUCAUGAGUAUGAGUAUCAUUGCCUUAUUUCUUUUUGAACCUGCAUCAGAUUCUCGCUCUGAAGAAUCCAUCUUGAUGUAAAUGUCUUGCCCUCUUUCAGACAGCUUUCGGAUGUCAAUCAAUUCCCCAAACCAAAGCAAGCAACCUUUGUCUCCGUUGCUUAUAUCUAGACUUGAAUAAGCUGUGCAAGAGCAGUUCCUGGAGCAUACUUGCCUACACCCUUUGAGUGUCAUGGUUUUAUUAUACCGAGAGUAC